GCUAAAGACGACCAAGUAAUUUACAAGUCCCAGGAGAGCGUCCUGGUGACUGUCUGACCCUGUUCUCGGCGUGGGGACAUUAGAACGACCAUCGACCCGACCCCUGCCGUCGUGGAACCUCCCUGCCGGGCAGAGGAACCCGAAGGAAGUGGAAGCACCGCACCAGCCUCGAAGGCUUUUCGUCUUCACUUUGUUCCCAAUGCUGAAGGCCCCCCUGAAGGUGGCUGUGGUCACACCGAGUCUCACCACCAGCCUAUUCGGGAGACUCCAAGGCAGCCCACCCAAGAAUCACUCAAAACGCCAAGUGUAAUUGUCUUAGGUCUAUCCAUAAUGUAGUCAGACUGCUUUGCACCGAACUGGCUUCCCUUCAUGGCCAAAGAGACUCACAAGAGACAUCGAAAUAGAAAGUACAAGUAUUGUUACAGGCAGCUGGUUAGGUUCCAAGAGGAUGUCUGGAGGCAAACAAUGAAGAGAUCAGAGCCAGACCAGAGGUCAGGAGAGUUAUAGGCCCUUCCUGGCAGCACUCUAAAACAAAGCCACAAAAAGCUAUAUCCAACCAGACAGGCCCAAGAUAGCUGAUGAAGUAGGUUGGAAACCCCUGGCAAAAUAAAGAAAAAAAGAUGAGAACUCCUGCUUCCAAGCUAUUCCCACCCCAAGUAAUGAACAUUCUACCCCCUCGUUCACAACUGUCAAUAAAAGAUAGAAACCUAAACCCCACCUUCUCUGAACUUCUCUCUCCCCACCUCCCUCUCCCUCCUGCUUCCCUGCUCUCUAUCCCAAGAGUAAUAGACUUUACUACUUGUGUUCCUACUCUGCUGUGUUGCACGUCUAUCUCAUGACAAGACCAAGAACCUUUGCCAACCUGUUUGGGACGGGCCAGGUCGGAGCCUCAGGGUCUCCCUGGGUCACCUGGCAAGAGUAUCACGCAGAUUUUCUUUAGCAACUUGGGCACAUUCCUGAAUGUUCAGCCUCCUGAAUUGUCGCUGGGUCCUGAACACCUUUUUGGAAGAACUGGUGACCAUAAGUCUACGCUAGCGGAUAUCCUAGAGGAUCAACAACUGGGUUUGCAAUCCAGUCCCUGGGCCAGGCUUCCGGUAUAGGAUAGAAGGCCCCAAUUGAUAGAAUUUUUAUGUUCAGGCUCCUUGACUUCCAGAAGCUGUUGGAAGCAGACUAAAGCCGACUUUAGCAAUCCUAUUGUGAAACUUGUGAUGGAUAAAAGGGCUGAAUUUUGGUUGCACAUCCCCAUGGCUCUUAGCCCAGUAAGUAGUGAUUCACUUCUACCUAGGGAUUAUUCCCUGCAGUCAUUCAUUCAGCCUGUUUUCAUCCUAUUCUUCUAUCCUUCCCUUGAGUGGGCAUUACUCUCAAGUAAUUUAUUCCUAGUGUCCCUUUUUUUCCACAUAGAGAUCUUAUGAUUUCUUUGAUUUCUCCACCUCUGCAUGUUCAUAAGUCUGGCUAACGUUAGAAACUCACACCAAAGACAAGUCACACAGCUGGACACAACCCCAUCUACUUU